rnacentral:rRNA from 1 species
GGGCCCGCACAAGCGGAGGAACAUGUGGUUUAAUUCGAUGAUACGCGAGGAACCUUACCCGGGCUUGAAAUGCAUCUGACGUAUUCGGAAACGGAUAUUCCCUACGGGGCAGAUGUGUAGGUGCUGCAUGGUUGUCGUCAGCUCGUGCCGUGAGGUGUCGGCUUAAGUGCCAUAACGAGCGCAACCCUCAUCGUCAGUUACCAUCAGGUAAAGCUGGGGACUCUGGCGAGACUGCCAUCGUAAGAUGCGAGGAAGGUGGGGAUGACGUCAAAUCAGCACGGCCCUUACGUCCGGGGCGACACACGUGUUACAAUGGGUGGUACAAAGGGCAGCUACCUGGCGACAGGAUGCUAAUCUCCAAAACCACUCUCAGUUCGGAUCGGAGUCUGCAACUCGACUCCGUGAAGCUGGAUUCGCUAGUAAUCGCGCAUCAGCCACGGCGCGGUGAAUACGUUCCCGGGCCUU